GAGAAGUGUGUGUGGUUCUCCAGCCAUGGUAUAAGGACCCGUGCUCACUUCAGCAGCUGACACUACAAGCCAGGAUGCCCACACUCCUGUCAGGCUUCUCAUCUCUGUGCUACGACUGCCUGCAGGACAGGCGGUGCGGCCAACCCCAGUUUGGAGAUGGACAGGAAUUUUCAUCAAGCCUCUGUAUAUCGUAGUCUGGAGACUGCAGGCUGUAAGCGUCCUUGUAAGACUGCUCAUCUGUAGAUGUACAUCAUCUCAUGGUGUCUUCUUAUCACGGAGCAAGGAGAGGUUUGAUCAUGCAGGGUGGUCAAGCAACCUAAAUGGUUAUUCGGCUUCUUGUUAUUUUGUAGGCAGAUUCUUCCCAGCACAGAAUCUGAGCACAGCUUCAC
rnacentral:lncRNA from 1 species